rnacentral:lncRNA from 1 species
CUUUUUACACCAUCCUUUCACCUUCCUGUGCCGCAUCAGACAGUGCGCCCUGCUAUUUAUAGGGUUUUCGUGGCCAAUUCUUUUGGAAUUGGGUGGCCAGGUCCUUCUUUCUAGUCUGUCUAGUCUGGAAGCUCCACUGAAACCUGUCCACGACGGGUGACCCUGCUGGUAUUUGAAAUGCCGGUGGCAGAGCUGUCAGCAUCACAGCCACAUGCAGCUGCCACGGUGUGACACCUGACAGACAGGGGUGCGGUUCCCUGACUGGGAAACAAACCCCAGGCGGUGGUGGUGAGAGUGCAGGGUCUCAACCACGAGACCACCAGGGCUGGCUCAGAAAGGGAUGAGGGCAGUGUGAAAACAGGAUGACCAAGAAGAGGAGCCUCCAGAUGGAAGGGUUCCUGACUCCUCGGGGAGAGACCAGCACCUCAGCAGGUGAAAAUUCAUCAAUUUGUACCGGUUAUUAUACGUCAGCUGUACCUCAAAAGAAUCAGUAGAGAGAGAAUGCCAAGAAGAUGCAAUAGUAGGAAGUAGAAGAAAAUGAAAGCAAAAUCCAGCAAGAUACCUCCCGCCAAUAAAAAUAUGGACACUGAGAAUUCCAGAAGUAAACAGAUUUGCCCAUCCAUCAGAGCAUAGACAAUAAACGCCACGGUCUUUACUACUCCCUCACUCCCGAGAAGUACAGCGCACCAGACAGAAAUGCUUUUGGCUGCAGAUAACAGAAUGCCAGCUAAUAAAAACUUCAGAAACAGAAGCGUUCAGUUACUGAACUUAACUAGGAGCGGGAAGGCAGGCAACUCCCAGGUUUGUUGCGAGUGCCAACAGUGUCACCAAGCACCCAGCCAUCCUCAGCUUACUGGUUUUCGAGCUUCGUGAGUGUGGUCAUAGAAGGCUGCCACAGCUCUGGGCAUCCCGAGCAAAUGCCAGUGGCGAGCCCGAGGGCACUCUGCUUGCCCCCUGCAGCUCAGCCCGGCUUCAUACAGAUCCUCUGGCUUGUCUGCUGGCCGCUGUGUUGCGAUGACAGAGAAGAGCCCAGGGUGCCGGACAAAGUCUGGGGCUGGAGGCCGAUCCCUCGUCGUUCCUGCCCACGGUCUCACUGAGCGAGAGUCACGGAGGCUCUCUGCACCUCCAUUUCCUC